CAGUCGCCGCGGUAAUGCGUAGGUCCCGAGCGUUGUCCGGAUUUAUUGGGCGUAAAGCGAGCGCAGGCGGUUUGAUAAGUCUGAAGUUAAAGGCUGUGGCUCAACCAUAGUUCGCUUUGGAAACUGUCAAACUUGAGUGCAGAAGGGGAGAGUGGAAUUUCAUGUGUAGCGGUGAAAUGCGUAGAUAUAUGGAGGAACACCGGUGGCGAAAGCGGCUCUCUGGUCUGUCACUGACGCUGAGGCUCGAAAGCGUGGGUAGCGAACAGGAUUAGAUACCCCCGUAGUCCCUGUCUCUUAUACA
rnacentral:rRNA from 1 species